rnacentral:rRNA from 1 species
UACGUAGGGGGCAAGCGUUGUCCGGAAUCAUUGGGCGUAAAGAGCGUGUAGGUGGCUCGGUAAGUUCGCUGUGAAAGUCCAGGGCUCAACCCUGGAAUGCCGGUGGAAACUGUCGAGCUCGAGUCCGGAAGAGGCGAGUGGAAUUCCUGGUGUAGCGGUGAAAUGCGCAGAUAUCAGGGGGAACACCAAUGGCGAAGGCAGCUCGCUGGGACGGUACUGACACUGAGACGCGAAAGCGUGGGGAGCAAACAGG